rnacentral:rRNA from 1 species
CUUUCAACAACGGAUCUCUAGGCUCUUGCAUCGAUGAAAAACGCAGUGAAAUGCGAUACGUAAUGUGAAUUGCAAAAUCUCGUGAAUCAUUGAAUCUUUGAACGCACAUUGCGCCCUAUGGUAUUCCGUAGGGCAUGCCUGUCUGAGUGUCAGCU